CAUUAAAGAAUCGCCCCGUUUUUUGAAAUGGGUUCUAUUCCCAAACCGUGGCUAUAUACCUUUGUUGCUUUGGCAGGCCGCCACUUAGGCGUUGGCUCCGGCUGACUGCGCCUGCCAGAGGACCUAAACUCGUUUGUUAGUGAUGUCUGAGUACUAUAUAAUAGUUAAAACUUUCAACAACGGAUCCCUUGGUUCUGGCAUCGAUGAAGAACGCAGCGAAAUGCGAUAAGUAAUGUGAAUUGCAGAAUUCAGUGAAUCAUCGAAUCUUUGAACGCACAUUGCGCCCCUUGGUAUUCCGAGGGGCAUGCCUGUUC
rnacentral:misc_RNA from 1 species